rnacentral:rRNA from 1 species
ACAACGUUGAUAGGCUGGGUGUGGAAGUGCAGUAAUGCAUGAAGCUAACCAGUACUAAUUGCCCGUGAGGCUUGACCAU